GACGAACGCUGGCGGCGUGCUUAACACAUGCAAGUCGAGCGGUAAGGCCCUUUCGGGGGUACACGAGCGGCGAACGGGUGAGUAACACGUGGGUGACCUGCCCUCAGCUCUGGGAUAAGCCUGGGAAACCGGGUCUAAUACCGGAUAUGACUCCAUGACGCAUGUUGUGGGGUGGAAAGCCUUGUGCGGCUGAGGAUGGGCCCGCGGCCUAUCAGCUUGUUGGUGGGGUGAUGGCCUACCAAGGCGACGACGGGUAGCCGGCCUGAGAGGACGAUCAGCCACACUGGCACUGCGACACGGGCCAGACUCCUACGGGAGGCAGCAGUAAGGAAUAUUGCGCAAUGGGCGAAAGCCUGACGCAGCGACGCCGCGUGGGGAUGAA
rnacentral:rRNA from 1 species